AGAGCCUUUUAUGCAGUCUUGUGAAACUGAACAAUUUGAACUUGGCUAGAAAUUACUUCCAGUCAUAUCCAGUGGGUGGUCCAGCUCAGUUUUUCACCAUCUGUUCCCUCAACAUGGAACACAAUCAAAUCAAUAAAAUCCCAUAUGGAAUUUUCUCUAGAGCAAAAGCAUUAAGAAAACUAAAUAUGAAGGUAAACUUUUUGUA
rnacentral:lncRNA from 1 species